UGUCCUGUGGCUUAGAUGUUUAAAGCACUGGUAUAGCGAAUACGGAGUCGUGGGUUCGAAUCCUGCCAGAACGC
rnacentral:tRNA from 1 species